CAUAGCGACUAUCGUGGCUAUAUCAAUAAGCGGAGGAAAAGAAACUAACAAGGAUUCCCUUAGUAACGGCGAGUGAAGCGGGAAGAGCUCAAAUUUGAAAUCUUCAAGGUUUUACCUUGACGAAUUGUAGUUUAAAGAAGUGUUUUCUGUUGGAGUUUUGGUAAAAGUUCUUUGGAAUAGGACAUCAUAGAGGGUGAGAAUCCCGUAUUUGACCAGUUAUUUCCAGCUGUGUGAUACACUUUCAAAGAGUCGGAUUGUUUGGGAAUGCAGUCCAAAAUGGGUGGUAAAUUUCAUCUAAAGCUAAAUAUUGGCGAGAGACCGAUAGCGAACAAGUACCAGUGAGGGAAAGAUGAAAAGAACUUUGAAAAGAGAGUUAAACAGUACGUGAAAUUGUCAAAAGGGAAGCGUUUGACACCAGUGUUGUUUUCUCGAGAAAUCAAUUAAAAAUGAUGGGAUUUUGUGUUGUAUUGACUUUAUCAGCUUUCUGCACUUUUUUCUUAUCUUUUUUAAUGCACUUUUCGUUUAACAAGUCAACAUCAAUUUCUUUUGUUGUAAAAGAGUCAUUGGAAGGUGGCUUUUUCUUCGGAAAAAGUGUUUAUAGCCUUUGGCUUCUGCAAUCGGAGAGAUUGAGGUCUGCAGCGUAGAUCCUUCGGGGUUAGAUACAUUUGUGCUAAGCUAUAGUUCUUUAUAGACAACUUGUUGACUAUAAUCAAUCCUGUAACUUACUCGCUUAUGCUAUUUUACCUACGCUUAGGAUGUUGACGCGCGUGUGUGCGUG
rnacentral:rRNA from 1 species